CAGUUCGAGCUUCCCAGCUGCUUUGUUUACCUAAUCAAGCCUGGGCAAUGGCGGGCGCCACUCCCCCAGCCUCGCUGCCGCCUUGCAAUUUGAUCUCAGACUGCUGUGCUAGCAAUCAGCGAGACUCCGUGGGCGUAGGACCCUCCGACCCAGGUGCCGGAUAUAAUCUCGUGGUGCGCUGUUUUUUAAUCCGGUUGGAAAAGUGCAGUAUUCGGGUGGGGGUGACUCGAUUUUCCAGGUCAAUUUUUUUUACUAAUUCCGGGGAGGUCAUCAAUGAUUUUGGGAUAACCUGCAUCCACGGACUGCAUAUUUUCAUCAUACCUGAGUCGCUGGGAAGCUGUGAGACACCACACCCCAGAACAGCAGCAGCAGCAGUGGAGGAAAGCUGUGCAUACUGGCCUUUGUCUUCUUUCUCAGUGCAAGGUGGUGAUUUAAGAAGGUGCGUUGCCUGGACACUAAACAACAUAGCUGUGUUGCUGCCGUGAGGAAAGCCAGCCUCAAGGGGACUGAAUAAGCUGCGUAUUUCUUCCUUUGAGCGCAGCUGGU
ensembl:lncRNA WTAPP1 Wilms tumor 1 associated protein pseudogene 1